rnacentral:tRNA from 1 species
GGUUCCUUAGCUUAAUAGGUAAAGUGUAUUCUUGAUAAGGAUAUGUUCAGCGUUCAAGUCGCUGAGGAAUCA